UACGUAGGGGGCAAGCGUUGUCCGGAUUUAUUGGGCGUAAAGAACGUGUAGGCGGCUGGGUAGGUCCGUUGUGAAAACUCGAGGCUCAACCUCGAGACGCCGAUGGAAACCCUCCAGCUAGAGUCCGGAAGAGGAGAGUGGAAUUCCUGGUGUAGCGGUGAAAUGCGCAGAUAUCAGGAAGAACACCCGUGGCUAAGGCAGCUUGCUGGGACGUUACUGACGCUAAGGCGCGAAAGCGUGGGGAGCGAACAGG
rnacentral:rRNA from 1 species